UACCUUACGAGACACCGUAGUUUACACUUGAUCUGUGUAGGUUGCCAUGUUUGUUUAAAACUGUAUGUACUCCGUUAAGGGGAUGAGGGAACCAGCCUUCUCUGUGACAAUAAAACCCAAUGGUCUCAGCCACAAUCUUCAA